UACGUAGGGGGCAAGCGUUGUCCGGAUUUAUUGGGCGUAAAGAGCGUGUAGGCGGCUUUACAGGUCCGUUGUGAAAACUCGAGGCUCAACCUCGAGACGCCGGUGGAAACCGUAAAGCUAGAGUCCGGAAGAGGAGAGUGGAAUUCCUGGUGUAGCGGUGAAAUGCGCAGAUAUCAGGAGGAACACCGGUGGCGAAAGCGGUUUCCUGGCCGAGUACUGACGCUGAGGCACGAAGGCGUGGGGAGCGAACGGG
rnacentral:rRNA from 1 species